UGUGGCCUGUGGGUUUCCCUUUGUCAUCCUAUGCCUGGAGGUCGACAUAAGGCAGGGACAGCAAAGGGAUGCUCAGCUGUCACCCCUGACUUCA
rnacentral:pre_miRNA from 1 species